CAGGCCAUUCAGCAAAGUAUGGGAGCUACACCACAAUGGAUCUUCAAAAGAACCUCAUAAUAGACAUCCAGCUAGUGCAAAGUAAUGAGGUCGGUGGUAGCUACCACAUGGAGAAAGAAGGGUUAAAACGAAGCCUGGAAAUGCUGGAGGAACGUGGUGUAAGGCUAGACUGCAUUGUGACAGACCGACAUCCCCAGAUUCAAAAGUUUCUGAGAGAACGAAACAUCACACAGUACUAUGAUGUCUGGAAUUUGGAGAAAGGGUUGUCAAAGAAGUUAGAGCAAAUUGCCAGAGACAAGGACUGUUCAAUAGUGAAAAAGUGGCAGCACAGCAUAAGAAACCAUCUCUACUGGACUGCAGCAUUCUCUACUUCUGGACCAGAGAAGGUAGCCAAGUGGAAGUCCCUCAUCAAUCACAUUCAGGAUGUUCACAUCCAUGAUGAUCCAUUAUACCCACAAUGUGAACAUUCACAUCGAGAGUCUAAGGGCAGCAGUAAACACUUCAAACCUGGUGAGUGCAUAAUAUUUCAUAUUAUUACCAUUACCAUUCAAAGUGGCUGACUGUUAUUCAUCUGUGUCCCACAGUGUUAAUACUGUUUCCAUUGUCCUUCACACAAAUUCAUACAUACUACUAUUCCAGGUUCAAAACCACUUUACAGAGUCGAAAAGGUGCUGACUAACAACAGAGUCCUCAAAGAUGUAGCAAAGCUCAGCCCUCACUUCCAGACCUCAUCCUUGGAGGCCUUUCAUAGUGUUAUUUUACGCUUUGCCCCCAAAAGUGUGGUAUUUCCUUUUAUUGGAAUGCUGUGCAGGUUGUAUUUGGCUGGCAUGCAUUUCAAUGAAAAUUCUAACCGUCCAAAGGCAACUACAUCAUCUGGAAAGCCAAUGUACAGACUUUUGUUCCCCAAGGCUAAAAAAGGAUUGUACACCACAAAACCAGUGACAUCCAACCCAACGUACUGCUACGUCUACAAUCUGAUGACACUGCUGUUUGAAAAGGUUCUGUCAGAUCCUUUUCCCUACAUGGAGGAGCUGCAUAAAAUUACAGUGCCUGACAGUCUAUGCACACAGUAUGACAGGCCUUCAUUGGAGGAGGCCAUUGCUGAGCAUGUGUCAAGGUUUAGUCAAGGGGCAGUUUGAAUCCGACAUAGCUGCCUUCCGCAUCUGGGAAUUUUUGCCGUAUACACAGGACAACACAUGAUGGUAUUACAACCCUGAUCUUUCUGCCUAGAUAGCCCCUGCACCAACUGACAAAGCUUCUGUAAGCCAAAUGCCUGUAGCGCCUGAUGGAAACAGAGAAAAGACAUUCAAAAUUAUACAUU